AUUGAACGCUGGCGGCAGGCCUAACACAUGCAAGUCGAGCGAGCGGCGGACGGGUGAGUAAUGUAUGGGGAUCUGCCCGUGAGAGGGGGAUAACUACUGGAAACGGUGGCUAAUACCGCAUCCUCGAGUAUGACCCACUAUGGGAUUAGCUAGUAGGUGGGGCAAAGGCUCACCUAGGCGACGAUCUCUAGCUGGUCUGAGAGGAUGACCAGCCACACUGGGACUGAGACACGGCCCAGACUCCUACGGGAGGCAGCAGUGGGGAAUAUUGCGCAAUGGGGGCAAGCCUGACGCAGCCAUGCCGCGUGAAUGAAGAAGGCCUUAGGGUUGUAAAGUACUUUCAGCGGGGAGGCGUUACCCGCAGAAGAAGCACCGGCUAACUCCGUGCCAGCAGCCGCGGUAAUAC
rnacentral:rRNA from 1 species